GUCCAGCUCUUCAUCUGAAGUUUGCUAAUUGAUCUAAUUUCUGGCAUUAGAUGAAUCUGCCUCGGCAGACCAGGUGUCUUCCAGCCUGACUCUCAGAGGGCCAGCAUCCCUCGGAAGCAUAUGGUGUGAAAGCUGAAGUCAGCUCCUCUAUUUGAAGAAGAGCUCAUCUGCUGGUAAAUCUCUCAUAAGGCUGCACUUUGUGUUCUCCACCUCCUCACUGACGGAUCUAUCAAAGCCCUCACUCUAGUCCUGUCAUGGCAUGGGCUGGUUCCUGCAGGACUUUGGGCUGGGAGCUGCCUAGGGGCCCAUCACUUGAUCACAGGAAGAUCUUGGAUCCUCACUUCCCUCUCAGCUAUGGGUAGUUUUUGCGCUAUCAGGAAGAAAGCAGCCAUGAGGAAGAUGUGGGGUGCUCUUCUGCUGCUCAGCACAGCUCUGCUCACAUUGCUCCUCUGUGGAACCAUCCAGGCUCCUUGGGAAAGCAGUGCUAUUCCUGCUCCGAACUGUGACCCUACAACUGGAUCCUCAAUGGGCGAAUAGCAAGCAGUUCACCAAACAAAUUAUGUGUACGUGUUCAUGCAUAACUGCACUGGAAAGCACCUUUCAGAGGCAUCCUAUGUUGAGUACCUCCAAACUGAAUUAUCCUUGGAAAUCUCCCUUGUCUCAAGUGUUCACAAGCAACAGUGAGUGGCCCUGGCUUCAGUAUUGAUAUCUGUUCUGCAAUCAACUCUGCUAUCAGUUCUGGUUUUGAUAUUGUUUCCAGUUCAUUAACCAUGGCUGGUGGGAGGUGGCUCGCCACAUGGCAGUCAGCAAAGCAGAAUGUCAGAUGUGGCUUGAUCAAAUUCAAAGCAGUACGAGAUGUGGAACAGAUUACAGGCUGGAUCACUUAAGCCACAAACCACAUUAAAAGUGUAAGAACUACAAUAGAUAUUCUGCUCUCACACUUCAACAUGAUCUUGAAUGAAAGGAUUUCCCCUGCCUCCAGCCCUUCUUCCCCCCAAAAAAGGAUUUCUGUCUCCAGGAAAUGCAAUCCUGUUGCAUGAAGUACCUUGGGUACCAUGAGCAUCUUUGCAUAACAAUGUCAUGUCAAACAAAUUCCCUCCUGCUCCUUGUCUACUGCCUGAUGUAUUGUGCCCUAAAACAGUUUUGACUACCUGCCACCUGAUGGCUAUGAAAUUAACAAUUGCAGAGGCAGCUGUGAAAUGAAAAUUAAAGUGGGGUGGGAGAAGGAGGGGAAAAGCCAACAAUUGGGUGAUGAAGCUGAGAGAGUGAAGGAAGAGGAAGGCCAGCUGGGAAUGGGGUCUG